rnacentral:rRNA from 1 species
GACAGAGGGUGCAAGCGUUGUUCGGAAUCAUUGGGCGUAAAGGGCGCGUAGGCGGUUUUGUAAGUCGGAUGUGAAAGCCCAGGGCUCAACCGUGGAAGUGCAUCCGAAACUACAGAACUGGAGUCCCGGAGAGGGUGGUGGAAUUCCCAGUGUAGAGGUGAAAUGCGUAGAGAUCGGGAGGAACACCAGCGGCGAAGGCGGCGACCUGGACAAGUACUGACACUCAACUACGAAAGCGUGGGGAGCAAACAGG